GGCUCAGAGCGAACGCUGGCGGCAGGCCUAACACAUGCAAGUCGAACGGACCUUUCGGGGUUAGUGGCGGACGGGUGAGUAACACGUGGGAACGUGCCUUUAGGUUCGGAAUAAGCUCGGGAAACUGGGUCUAAUACCGAAUGUGCCCUUCGGGGGAAAGAUUUAUCGCCUUUAGAGCGGCCCGCGUCUGAUUAGCUAGUUGGUGGUGUAAUGGACCACCAAGGCGACGAUCAGUAGCUGGUCUGAGAGGAUGACCAGCCACAUUGGGACUGAGACACGGCCCAAACUCCUACGGGAGGCAGCAGUGGGGAAUCUUGCGCAAUGGGCGAAAGCCUGACGCAGCCAUGCCGCGUGUAUGAUGAAGGUCUUAGGAUUGUAAAAUACUUUCACCGGUGAAGAUAAUGACUUA
rnacentral:rRNA from 1 species